rnacentral:rRNA from 1 species
AUGGCGGGAAUCGGGGUUGAACUGUGGCUGCUCGCGUACGCCGGCGCGGGUGGAACCAGCAGCGAGGAGGAGAGGGGAGCAGGGGCGCGCGACUGGAGGAGGUCGCUAAGGCAAGGCAGCAGCUUCAGCGGGUCCGGUGGUGGACUUGGAGCUCCGGACGGCGAGGGACUUGAGGCCACGGGGGUCCAGGUGGCACGGUCGUCAGUGGCCACAGCGGAGGCGCUGGCCUGCUUCAGCGGAACGAGAACGAUGGGCAUCGGGGGACCGCCCUGGCGUCUUAAAGCAGGGGGAAGGCAGAGGAGGCGCUAUGGCCAUGGCGGAGAGGUGAGGGCGACGGGAUCCUGGUGGGGCUCGGCGGCGGCGUCGCUGUGUGGGAACGAGGGAGAUGAGUUGCAGGGAUGGAUCUGGGCAUGUAGAUCAAGAAGAGUGGCGACGUGA